rnacentral:rRNA from 1 species
UGUGAGCUCGAUGAGUAGGGCGGGACACGUGGUAUCCUGUCUGAAUAUGGGGGGACCAUCCUCCAAGGCUAAAUACUCCUGACUGACCGAUAGUGAACCAGUACCGUGAGGGAAAGGCGAAAAGAACCCCGGCGAGGGGAGUGAAAAAGAACCUGAAACCGUGUACGUACAAGCAGUGGGAGCACGCUUAGGCGUGUGACUGCGUACCUUUUGUAUAAUGGGUCAGCGACUUAUAUUCUGUAGCAAGGUUAACCGAAUAGGGGAGCCGAAGGGAAACCGAGUCUUAACUGGGCGUUAAGUUGCAGGGUAUAGACCCGAAACCCGGUGAUCUAGCCAUGGGCAGGUUGAAGGUUGGGUAACACUAACUGGAGGACCGAACCGACUAAUGUUGAAAAAUUAGCGGAUGACUUGUGGCUGGGGGUGAAAGGCCAAUCAAACCGGGAGAUAGCUGGUUCUCCCCGAAAGCUAUUUAGGUAGCGCCUCGUGAAUUCAUCUCCGGGGGUAGAGCACUGUUUCGGCAAGGGGGUCAUCCCGACUUACCAACCCGAUGCAAACUGCGAAUACCGGAGAAUGUUAUCACGGGAGACACACGGCGGGUGCUAACGUCCGUCGUGAAGAGGGAAACAACCCAGACCGCCAGCUAAGGUCCCAAAGUCAUGGUUAAGUGGGAAACGAUGUGGGAAGGCCCAGACAGCCAGGAUGUUGGCUUAGAAGCAGCCAUCAUUUAAAGAAAGCGUAAUAGCUCACUGGUCGAGUCGGCCUGCGCGGAAGAUGUAACGGGGCUAAACCAUGCACCGAAGCUGCGGCAGCGACACUAUGUGUUGUUGGGUAGGGGAGCGUUCUGUAAGCCUGUGAAGGUGUGCUGUGAGGCAUGCUGGAGGUAUCAGAAGUGCGAAUGCUGACAUAAGUAACGAUAAAGCGGGUGAAAAGCCCGCUCGCCGGAAGACCAAGGGUUCCUGUCCAACGUUAAUCGGGGCAGGGUGAGUCGACCCCUAAGGCGAGGCCGAAAGGCGUAGUCGAUGGGAAACAGGUUAAUAUUCCUGUACUUGGUGUUACUGCGAAGGGGGGACGGAGAAGGCUAUGUUGGCCGGGCGACGGUUGUCCCGGUUUAAGCGUGUAGGCUGGUUUUCCAGGCAAAUCCGGAAAAUCAAGGCUGAGGCGUGAUGACGAGGCACUACGGUGCUGAAGCAACAAAUGCCCUGCUUCCAGGAAAAGCCUCUAAGCAUCAGGUAACAUCAAAUCGUACCCCAAACCGACACAGGUGGUCAGGUAGAGAAUACCAAGGCGCUUGAGAGAACUCGGGUGAAGGAACUAGGCAAAAUGGUGCCGUAACUUCGGGAGAAGGCACGCUGAUAUGUAGGUGAAGUCCCUCGCGGAUGGAGCUGAAAUCAGUCGAAGAUACCAGCUGGCUGCAACUGUUUAUUAAAAACACAGCACUGUGCAAACACGAAAGUGGACGUAUACGGUGUGACGCCUGCCCGGUGCCGGAAGGUUAAUUGAUGGGGUUAGCCGCAAGGCGAAGCUCUUGAUCGAAGCCCCGGUAAACGGCGGCCGUAACUAUAACGGUCCUAAGGUAGCGAAAUUCCUUGUCGGGUAAGUUCCGACCUGCACGAAUGGCGUAAUGAUGGCCAGGCUGUCUCCACCCGAGACUCAGUGAAAUUGAACUCGCUGUGAAGAUGCAGUGUACCCGCGGCAAGACGGAAAGACCCCGUGAACCUUUACUAUAGCUUGACACUGAACAUUGAGCCUUGAUGUGUAGGAUAGGUGGGAGGCUUUGAAGUGUGGACGCCAGUCUGCAUGGAGCCGACCUUGAAAUACCACCCUUUAAUGUUUGAUGUUCUAACGUUGACCCGUAAUCCGGGUUGCGGACAGUGUCUGGUGGGUAGUUUGACUGGGGCGGUCUCCUCCUAAAGAGUAACGGAGGAGCACGAAGGUUGGCUAAUCCUGGUCGGACAUCAGGAGGUUAGUGCAAUGGCAUAAGCCAGCUUGACUGCGAGCGUGACGGCGCGAGCAGGUGCGAAAGCAGGUCAUAGUGAUCCGGUGGUUCUGAAUGGAAGGGCCAUCGCUCAACGGAUAAAAGGUACUCCGGGGAUAACAGGCUGAUACCGCCCAAGAGUUCAUAUCGACGGCGGUGUUUGGCACCUCGAUGUCGGCUCAUCACAUCCUGGGGCUGAAGUAGGUCCCAAGGGUAUGGCUGUUCGCCAUUUAAAGUGGUACGCGAGCUGGGUUUAGAACGUCGUGAGACAGUUCGGUCCCUAUCUGCCGUGGGCGCUGGAGAACUGAGGGGGGCUGCUCCUAGUACGAGAGGACCGGAGUGGACGCAUCACUGGUGUUCGGGUUGUCAUGCCAAUGGCACUGCCCGGUAGCUAAAUGCGGAAGAGAUAAGUGCUGAAAGCAUCUAAGCACGAAACUUGCCCCGAGAUGAGUUCUCCCUGAC